CCUCCGCCGACCUGCGGCGGCCUCGCGGCCCGGGCUGGCUGGGGACCGGCAGCCGAGGCCCUCCUGCGGCCCCAGCGCCCAAGGGAUGCACAGAAUCGCCCCUCCGCUGUCUCCGGGUGGCCCCAGGGAGAGGCGCCCGAGCCGGCCCCCCACGGCCUCGCACCCCCGGGGAACCUGCGGCGCAGCACAAAGCCGCCGCAGCGCAGAGGCUGAAACUGAGGCUCCAACAAAGUGAAAGCCGGGAGCUGGGAUCUGUGCUCCUGAUGAGGACGCCUGAUGGGCCUGAAUGCGCGGGUUCGAGUCCCAGCCCCGGAUUCCAGCUCCUUGCUAAUACCCGUUCUGGCGGGCGGCAGCAGCAGCAGGUCCCGCUCACCAGUGGAUAAACAAGCAGAGUUCACAGGAACUUGGAGUGAGGGGGCAGCGUUGUGGUGCAGCAGGUUACGCCACUGCAUUCCAUAUUGGAGGGAGCCACAGUUCAAAUCCCGGCUGUUCCGCUCCAGUUCAGCUCCCUGCUAAUACACAUGGGAAAGCAGCAGAAGAUGGCCCGAGUGCUUGGGCCCCUGCACCCGCGUGGGAGACCCAGGGGGAGCUCCAGGCUCCUGGCUUCAGCCUGGCCCAGCCCUGGCUAUUUCGGCUAUCCGAGGAAGUGAACCUGCGGCUGAAAGAACUCUUUCUCCUUGUCUCUCCUCUCUCUGCCACUUCGC